UAUUUAUGAAGAUGAAGAUUAUCACACCUUGGAGCAUCGUGUGCUUCUUCACUUUAUGGUCAGAGCGAGCAACUUCAGAGAGCAUGCAUACUAUCUUAUUGUACAUUAGAUGGAGCGGAAUAGGAGAAUUUUUUUAAAAGGAGUUGUGCGCAGAUAGUCAUGCAGACCGAGGAAGAGAUGGUGCUGCGGAGGCAAAGGUCUGUGGGUAUGCAUGUCGUAGAGCCUUGCAUUGUUCUAGAAAAUGCCAUAUAUUAAAUAAAAUACAAUGAAACAUAGAUGAAAUAAUCACCUUUAAUGCAUGAUUUCAUCCUAUUAAAUGUGGAUGAACUACAAUUUAGACUAGCCUUGUCUUGUUCGUUUGGACUUAUUAACCAAAUCUGCCAGUUAUUCAGCAGUGUUUUUCUCUUUACAAUAAAUCAGCCAACAGUACUUUCUGUCAUAACUUAUCAGCCAAAUGUAGUCUCUUGCUAUUAUGUACUACCUCAGUCCUCAAAAGGACGCAACUAUGGGUGACGUGCCAGUUAAAGGCCUCUACGUUGGACUAAGUUUCUAGUAAAUAAUAUUCAUAUUUAUGACUCUAAACUAAUUUAUUAUGAAAAUAAAUUUUAUAAUUAAUCUAACAAUACUUAUUGAAUAUUAUAAAGAUUUAUAUAUUUUUAUCUAUAAUUAGCUAAGUUUGAUAUACUAAAAUAUGAUACUGUUCCAAUUGCAUU
rnacentral:lncRNA from 1 species